CACCAGUAAUAUUAAGGAGCUUGACAUAAGAAAGGAAAAGGAAAAGUGGGAAGGGGAAUCUUUCUUUCUACUCCUGAAUUCAUGGUCCCAUUUACCAUGGAUCUGUCAGGGUUUAAGGGAUAUGGGGCUGAUCAAGGGAGAAGAUAUGAAUGUAAGAGGCAGUAGCACAGAGCAAGUUUUACUGGGUGCUGCCUGUGGGGAAGCCCCUGCAGAAGGAGUCUGUAGAGAGGCUCAGCAUAGGAGCCACCACCCAGAAGGGAAGGAGGGUAAGGGAACCCCAGGGCAGAGGGAGGACGGAGAGUGGCUCAUACAACUAGGUGACGUCACUCAGUGGUGUGAGGGCGGCCUGCAUCAGAAGCUCCACAGGCCCAGCCACAGUAGCUUGGGGCUUUAUCUUAGUGACAGCAGGUGUGAGGUGAGGUUUUGCAGGGUAUGAAAAGGAGGUGGACCCUAAAUGGCUUAGAAUCUGCUUCACUGGGCUACUUUUAAAAUAACUGGAUGUGUAAACAUUUGAAUCUGGCACUGACCUAAGGAGUCUUGGCCUGCAGUGAAGAAAUAAACAACAAGGCAAGAGGCGUCUUUGACUCAUUUUUACAGCAGCAUUUGAUCCACAGAGUUCCUAAAUCUUGCUGCCAGCAAAUAUGAUUUAUAGUGAUGUAUUUAAGGGAAUGACCUCCCAUUACAACAGAAUAGUUCCUCUGGGAGAUUGGAUUAAGAUGGUGGAGUAGAAGGACUGGAGCUCACCUCCUCUCAUGAAAACAACAAAAUUACAAUCAACUUCUGAACAACCUUCAAUAAAAUAGACUGGAAAUGACCAAAAAAGAUAUUCUACUCCAAAAGACAAAGAGGAGGCCACAUGGAGAUGGUAGGAGGGGCGAUUAUGCAAUAGAAGCAACCUCAUACCCACCAGGUGGGUAGCCCACAAACUGGACAGUAACUAUAUUGUAGAAGUUCACCCAAAGAGUGAGAGUUCUGAGCCCCAUGUCAGGUUCCCAUGCCUGGGGAGCUGGUACUGGAAGGAGGAGCCCCAGUAGCAUUUGGCAUUGAGGGCCAGUGGGGCUUGUGCCCAGGAGCUCCAUGGGACUGGAGGAAAUGGAGACCCCAUUCUUGAAAGGUGCACAUAGGCUUUCAUGUGCACUGGGUCCCAGAGCAAGGCAGAGACUGCAUCUGGGUCAGACCUGACUGCAGUUCUUGGAGGAUCUCCUGGGAAAACAGGGGUGACUGUGGCUCAUUAUAGAGGAAGGACAUUGGAGGCAAAGGUCUUGGGAAUAAUCAUCAGCAUGAAGUCCUCUAGAGGAGGGUAUUUUGGAAAAAUCUGGCUUUACCCAUCAGGGCUGAGAAGCCUCAGGCCAAAUAACAAACUAGGUGGGAACACAGCCUCCCCCAGCAGCAAACAGGCUGCCUAAAGACCACCCCCCCACACCCAGGCACACAGCCACCUCUAAUCACACCCAGAGACAAAGCCCAACCCACCAGAAGGAUAAGAAACAGCUCCACCUACCAGUGGGCAGGCACCAGUCCCUCCCAAUAGAAAACAAGAGAGGCUACAACCCUAUUGUCUGCAGAAAGGAGACCACACAAAAAAUCUAUACAAAAUGAAAAGGAAGAGAAUUAUGGCUCAGAGAAAGGAAUAGGAAAAAAACCAACAACAGAAAAAUAGCUAAGUGAUGUGGAGAUUACUAACCUCCAUGAAAAAGACUUUAGACUAAUAAUAGUAAAGAUGUUUCAAGAUCUUGGAAAUAAACUGGAGGCAAAGAUUGACAAAUUACGAGAAACACUGAACAAAGAAAUCAAAAACAUAAAGAUUAAGAGAGCAGAGAUGCAAAAUACAAUAAUUGAAAUUAAAAAUUCAUUAAAUGCAACCAACAGCAGAAUGCAGGAGGCAGGAAAAUGAAUGAGCAAGGAAUAAGACAGACUGGUAGAAAUCCCUGAUGUGGAACAGAAAAGAGAAAAGAGAUGGAAAAGAAAUGAAGACAGUCUCAGAGAACUCUGGGACAAUAUUAAACAUACCAACAUCCAUAUUACAGAAGUGCCAGAAGAAGGAGAGAGAGAGAGAAAGGGCCAGAAAAAAUAUUUGAAGAGAUAAUAGCCAAAAAACUUCCCUAACAUGGAAAAGGAACCACUCACUCAAAUGCAGAAAGCACAAUGAGUACUAUAUAAAAUAAACCCAAGGAGGAAAACCCUGAGACACAUAUUAAUCACAGUGACCAAAGUUAAAGACAGAGAGAAAAUAUUGAAAGCAGCUAGAGAAAAGAAACACAUAAUACACAAGGGAAUCCCAAUAAGCUUAUUGGCUGAUUUUUCAACAGCAACUCUGCAGGCCAGAAGGGAUUGGCAUGAUAUACUUAACAUGAUGAAAAGAAAAAAACCUCCAACCAAUAUUACUCUACCCAGCAAGGCUCUCAUUCAAAUUUGAAGGAGAAGUCAAAAGUUUUACAGACAAGCAAAAGCUAAGAGAAUUCAGCACCACUAAACCAGCUUUACAACAAAUACUAAAGGAACUUCUCUAGGCAGAAAAGAAAAGGUCACAACCAGAAACAAAAAUACCACAAAUGACAAGGCUCACCAGUAAGGGCAUAUAUACAGUAAAGGUAGGAAAUCAACCAUACACAAAUAUGCUACCAAAAACAGAAAUUGUGAGGAGAGGAGGAUGCAAAUGCAGGACACUGGAGAUGCACUUGCAAUUAAGAGACUGACAACUUAAAACAAUCUUGUAUAUAUGUAGACCCCUGUACCAAAACUUCAGGGUAAUACACACAAAUAAGAAAAAGCAACUCAAAUACAACACAAAGAUAGUCAUCAAACCACAAGAGGAGAGAGCAAGAAAAGAAGGGAAGAAAAAUGACCAACAAAAACAAAUCCAAAACAGUUCAUAAAAUGGCAGUAAGAACAUAUAUAUCAAUAAUUACCUUAAAUGUAAAUGUACUAAAUGCCCCAACCAAAAGACACAGACUGGCUGAAUGGAUACAAAAGCAAGAUCCACAUGUAUGCUGUCUUCAAGAGGCCCACUUCACUUCUAGGGACACAUACAAAUUGAGAGUGAGAGGAUGGAAGAAAAUAUUCCAUACAAAUGGGAAUCAAAAGAAAGCUGGACUACAAUAGUCAUAUCAGACAAAAUAGACCUUGAAAUAAAGAAUAGUAUGAGACAAAGAAGGACAUUACAUUAUGAUCAAAGGAUCAAUCCAAGAGGAAGAUAUAAUAAUUGUAAAUAUAUAUGCACCCAACAUAGGAUCACCUCAAUAUAUAAGGCAACUGCUAACAAUCUUAAAAGGAGAAAUUGACAAUAACACAAUAGCUUCAGGGUCUUUAACACUCCACUUACAGCAUGGACAGAUCAUCCAGGCAGAAAAUCAGCAAGGAAAUACAGGCCCUAAAUAAUGCACUAGACCAGAUGGACUUAAUAUUUAUGUAUAGAAUGUGCCAUCCAAAGGCAGCAGAAUACACAUUUCUUCUCAAGUGCACAUGGAACAUUCUCUAGGACAGAUCACAUUCUGGGGCACAAAUCAAGCCUCAGUAAAUUUAAGAAAAUUGAAAUCACAUCAAGCAUCUUUUCUGACUACAAUGCUAUAAGACCAGAAGUCAACAACAAUAAAAAAAAAAAACCUGCAUAAAAACACAAACACAUGGAGACUAAACAACAUGCUACUAAACAUGGAUCACUGAAUAAAUCAAAUAGGAAAUUUUAAAAAUACCUAGAAGCAAAUGACAACAAAGACACAACAAUCCAAAACCUAGGGGAUACAGAAAAAGCAGUUCUAAGAGGGAUGUUGACAGCAAUACAAGCCUACCUCAGGAAACAAGAAAAAGCUCAAAUAAACCACCUAACUUUAUACCUAAAGCAACUAGAGAAAGAAGGACAAAACCCAAAGUUAGCAGAAGCAAAGAAAUCAUGAAGAUCAGAGCAGAAAUCAAUGAAAUAGAAAGGAAGAAAACCAUAGGAAAGAUCAGUGAUAUAAUUCCCGUCGUGGUGCAGUGGAAACUAAUCCAACUAGGACCUGUGAGGUUGCGGAUUCGAUCCCUGGCCUUGCUCAGUGGGUUAAGGAUCCGGCGUUGCCGUGAGCUGUGGUGUAGGUUGCAGACACAGCUCGGAUCCCACGUUGCUGUGGCUGUGGUGUAGGCCAGUGGCUACAGCUCUGAUUAGACCCCUAGCCUGAGAACCUCUACAUGCCAUGGGUGUGGCCCUAAAAGGACAAAAGACUAAAAAAAAAAAAAAAAAAAAAAAAAAAAAAUUCAAUGAAACAAAAGGCUGGUUCUUUGAAAAGAUGAGCAAAAUUGAUAAACCCUUAGCCAGACUCACCCAGGGAGGACUCAAAUCAAUAAAAUUAGAACUGAAAAAGGAGAAGUUACAACGGACACCACAGAAAUACAAAGGACCAUAAGAGAAUACUACAAGCAACUAUAUGCCAAUGAAAUGGACAACCUAGAAGAAAUGGAGAAAUUCUUAGAAAAGCACAAUCAUCCAAGACUAAGCCAACACAAAAUAGAAAAGAUGAAUGGACCGAUCUCAAGUACUAAAAUUGAAACUGUGAUUUAAAAACUUCCAAUAAACAAAAGUCCAGGACCAGAGGGCUUCACAGGCGAAUUCUAUCAAACAUCUAGACAGGAGUUCACCCCAUCCUUCUGAAACUAUUCCAAAAAACUGCAGAGAAAGGAACACUCCCAAACUCAUUCUAUGAGGCCACCAUCACCCUGAUACCAAUAUCAGACAAAGAUACCAGAACAGUUCUGCUCUCCUUUCAAGUUGUAUUUCUUUUCAUUCAGUAUAAUUUAAAAUCAACCCAAACAAUUUAAUUUGAUUUGGCUUCAAACAAUUUGCAUUAAGGAGCUGAUGUGGCAGUUAAGACCACAAAUUAGAGUCAAAAAGACCUGAAUGCAGUGUCUAGCUUUACAACCAAGGUGGCUUCUAUGCACUUCUAUGUCCCUGAAUGUCACAUGAGGGUAAAGUUGUACUUCAUUACAACUCCAGCAUUAAACAAGGUCAUGCAGGUGGAACAGGAUUGGAGACCAUCCUGGCAUUGAGGUCAACCAAGGGGGCUACACAGUGAAUAUCAGGACACCAACAUGAGUGAGACCCAAGGCAUCUCCCAACCCCACCAAGUGCAGGAUUUACUGUGGGGUCAUAGGACUUAUCUAUCAGUGACUUUUAAACUCCCUCACCUACUCAGCGAACACGGGCUAAAGUGUGGGAAAGAAUUUUGCAGUGAGAUUGUUGAAGAAAUUUCUUCGGAGAGGGUGGCUGCAGAGUUUGAGUUCCCAAUCCACCUCUUUGCUUGGAGGGGUCAAGGUGUUACUUUCUAAGCCAAGUGUAGUGGGGGUUAGGGGGCCGCUUCAAUGGGAUCCCAUGGAGAAUCCCAAAUUGUUUCCUGCAGUUGUGAAACAGAGAACCUGGCCAGACUGUUGCCUAAAGUGGGCUGAGGCUGGAUUAGCUGUAAAGCCCAGAGAGAGGCUGGCCAGCCUGUGGCUUUAACAGCUGAGCCAAGGAAGGGAAGCUGAGUUGGGACUGGCCUGCAUGCCUGGAAGUUGGGCCCAGGCAGGAUGGUGGGUUCUCAGUGGACUGGAUUGUGAGCCUGCAGGAGAGAGCUGAGCCCUCGGCAACAGGGCAGCAUCGAAAUUGAGGAGACACCAGGUGAGGACAUCAGAGGUGCCCCGAGGGCCCAAGAAGCACCUUGUGCCUGGCCCAACCCCGAGCCUGAGCCUCAGAGCUCAAGGGCCUCAAGCCAGGGAAGGACUGUGCUCUGCUCUGCCUUUCUUCCUUCCCCCAACCCCAAGCUCGGGGCUCCUGUAGCUAGUGAAGCAGCAGUUAUUUGCUGGAAAAGCAAAGGCGUUGUGGAGCAGGUGGGGUG
rnacentral:lncRNA from 1 species